UUAAGUUCAGCGGGUAUUCCUACCUGAUCCGAGGUCAACCUUCUAAAUUUGGGUGUUUAACGGCCGGAGCGCGUCCAGCGCCCUAAGCGAGGUAUGCUACUACGCUCGGGUCUGGGCCGCGCCCGCCGCUGACUUUUGGGGCCCACGGCUGUGGUUCCCCAACACCAGGCGGGGCCUGAGGGUUGAAAUGACGCUCGAAC
rnacentral:misc_RNA from 1 species